rnacentral:rRNA from 1 species
AUGCUAGCUUCGCCACUGCAUACCCCUAUGAGCACCUUCGAAAGACUGAGCCGUCAUAUCAUCCAAUCACAGAUAGGUUCGCAUCCAUCCCAUAAUAUAAGAGCGUUUUUUAUACUACACGUAAUUCAAAGCGAUCAUUUAUGUAUCAUGUUUUACAUACAAUGUUCUAAAAUCAGAAUCUCAGUCACAAAGCUACCAUAUAUAGGGCGUCGUCUGAGUCCAAAUUUGAUGUCAAUUUUUUUUAGGAAGUCAAAUUCUUCGGUUGUAUGGUGCCGAUGUGCGUUACUUGCGUGCUGCACAGUAUUUUGGAAGUAUGCAAUUUAUCACCAUGUUUCUAGUAGCCUCCGCGAUCUUAAAAGCUCUGCAAAGAAAAGAAAAGAAACGUGUGAAUGGCUUCCACGCUGA